CCUACGGGAGGCAGCAGUGAGGAAUAUUGGUCAAUGGGCGCGAGCCUGAACCAGCCAAGUAGCAUGAAGGAUGACUGCCCUACGGGUUGUAAACUUCUUUUAUAAAGGAAUAAAGUGAGGCACGUGUGCCUUUUUGUAUGUACUUUAUGAAUAAGGAUCGGCUAACUCCGUGCCAGCAGCCGCGGUAAUACGGAGGAUCCGAGCGUUAUCCGGCUUUAUUGGGUUUAAAGGGAGCGUAGAUGGGUUGUUAAGUCAGUUGUGAAAGUUUGCGGCUCAACCGUAAAAUUGCAAUUGAUACUGGCAGUCUAGAGGACAGUUGAGGUAGGCGGAAUUCGUGGUGUAGCGGUGAAAUGCUUAGAUAUCACGAAGAACUCCGAUUGCGAAGGCAGCUUACUAAACUUCCACUGACAUUGAUGCUCGAAAGUGUGGGUAUCAAACAGGAUUAGAUACCCCGGUAGUG
rnacentral:rRNA from 1 species